rnacentral:rRNA from 1 species
AUGAAAAACGAAACGUUCUCUAUCGUAUCCUGGAAUGUGCGUGGUUUAGGGGACAAUGAUAAGUGCUCUAAUGUGUUCUCUGAAAUCAAACAAUUGGGGCCUUCAAUCGCUCUGCUACAAGAAACAAAAUUGCAAACACCUGAUUCCAUCAAACUAUGAUCCAUCUUGCCACGCUUCCUCGAUUCUAAUAACCACCUAGAUGCGAUCGGAUCUGCCAGUGGAAUCCUAUCUGCUACCAACUCUCGCUGCUUCUCACUUCUUAACUGUCAGCACAAACGCUUCACUACUACCUUAACUCUAUCAUGCCUUGCCUCGCCGCAUCACAUCUUCAUCACUAAUGUAUACGCCCCCUCUCAACGUGUACUAAAACUUGAAUUCCUAGAUGAACUUAAGCAAAUAGAGCCACCAAGCACAUCUCCCUGGCUUCUCAUUAGUGACUUUAACCUUACACGAUUCCCUAAUGAGCGGAACAACAACAAAUUCAGACGAUCGGAAGCCGAUGCCUUCAAUGACACAAUUGAUCAGCUCGCUCUGUUAGAAAUACCAAUUCUGGACAGACAGUUUACCUGGUCAAACAAACGAUUAUCGCCUACGCUAAUUCGCUUAGAUAGAGUACUUAUUAACCUUCCUUGGGAUGCUCUCUUCCCAAACACGCACCUAACCUCCCUUACCAGAUUCGUCUCUGAUCAU